GAUGAACGCUGGCGGCGUGCCUAAUACAUGCAAGUCGAGCGAACAGAUGAGAAGCUUGCUUCUCUGAUGUUAGCGGCGGACGGGUGAGUAACACGUGGGUAACCUACCUACAAGACUGGGAUAACUCCGGGAAACCGGGGCUAAUACCGGAUAAUAUUUUGAACCGCAUGGUUCGAUAGUGAAAGACGGUUUCGGCUGUCACUUAUAGAUGGACCCGCGCCGUAUUAGCUAGUUGGUAAGGUAACGGCUUACCAAGGCGACGAUACGUAGCCGACCUGGGAGGGUGAUCGGCCAGACUGGAACUGGGACACGGGCCAGAAUCCUACGGGAGGCAGCAGUAGGGAAUCUUCCGCAAUGGGCGAAAGCCUGACGGAGCAACGCCGCGUGAGUGAUGAAGGUCUACGGAUCGUAAAACUCUGUUGUUAGGGAAGAACAAAUUUGUUAGUAACUGAACAAGUCUUGACGGUACCUAACCAGAAAGCCACGGCUAACUACGUGCCAGCCGCCGCAGUAA
rnacentral:rRNA from 1 species